rnacentral:rRNA from 1 species
GACGUAGGGCGCGAGCGUUGUCCGGAUUUAUUGGGCGUAAAGAGCUCGUAGGCGGCUUGUCGCGUCGACUGUGAAAUCCCGCGGCUCAACCGCGGGUCUGCAGUCGAUACUGGCAGGCUAGAGUUCGGUAGGGGAGACUGGAAUUCCUGGUGUAGCGGUGAAAUGCGCAGAUAUCAGGAGGAACACCGAUGGCGAAGGCAGGUCUCUGGGCCGAUACUGACGCUGAGGAGCGAAAGCGUGGGGAGCGAACAGG